UUAGGUUUCAUGUUAAAAUAAAAUUAUUAAAAAAAUCGAUAUUUAAUAUGAGAAUUGAAAUUUAUUCCGUGAUAAAAUAUUAUUAUUUAAUACACAAAGAAACUUAUAUUAAAAAAAUCACCAAAACAAAAUUCACUUUAAUUCUUCUAAGUAUUAUUUAAAUUUAAAAAUCCUAAACGAAUAAAAAAAAACUAAUUGUUUUUUAAAUUUAAUAAAUAACUAAGUCUCAGAGUGCAUUUUUUUUUUUUAACUUUUGAAAUAA